rnacentral:rRNA from 1 species
UACGUAGGGGGGCAAGCGUUGUCCGGAAUCAUUGGGCGUAAAGAGCGUGUAGGCGGUCCGGUAAGUCCGCUGUGAAAGUCCAGGGCUCAACCCUGGAAUGCCGGUGGAUACUGCCGGGCUAGAGUCCGGAAGAGGCGAGUGGAAUUCCUGGUGUAGCGGUGAAAUGCGCAGAUAUCAGGAGGAACACCGAUGGCGAAGGCAGCUCGCUGGGACGGUACUGACGCUGAGACGCGAAAGCGUGGGGAGCAAACAGG